rnacentral:rRNA from 1 species
UACGUAGGGUGCGAGCGUUAAUCGGAAUUACUGGGCGUAAAGCGUGCGCAGGCGGUUUUGUAAGGCAGAUGUGAAAUCCCCGGGCUCAACCUGGGAAUGGCAUUUGGGACUGCAAGGCUCGAGUUUGGCAGAGGAGACUGGAAUUCCUGGUGUAGCAGUGAAAUGCGUAGAUAUCAGGAGGAAUACCGAUGGCGAAGGCAGGUCUCUGGGCUGAAACUGACGCUCAUGCACGAAAGCGUGGGGAGCAAACAGG